UCUGAAGCUCAAAGAAGACGAAUGAAGAAAUAAGAGCCUAGCUGUUUCUUCGGCGGUGAUGGUGCACGUUUGAACUGUAAAUGUGGUGCAGCUCGAUUUCGCCGAACAGCGUCGAAGAAUACUUACAAUCACGAUGAAGAUCGAUAUGAAGAAAAUUUGCAGUUUCUUCGGCGGCGGUGCACUACUACGUAUAGUCUGAAGAUUGACACAACUCGGUUUCACGGGAACAGUCGACGCUUAAAUCUUGCCAUAAUAUCGGAAAAACAAAAAAACUGAAAUAAUUACGCUAUAAUGUCAACCCGGAGGACGAUUGACAGUAUCAUUAAGAAGAAGCACAUCUGAAGAACAAAAAUUAGUGUCGCAAGGCUGUGUUUGUUUAAUAAUAUAAUUUUUUGAACAGUAGUACAGUAUAUUAUGAAUAUUUACUUAAAUUAUAUUUAAUUUUUAUGGUUUUUUUUUCAGAUAAUGUACUGUACUACGGUUUUAGGUGUUCUUUUUAUUUUAAUAAUACGUUGAUAAAUUACUAAUUUUUUCGAUUUUUUUUUCUUUUCACAAAGCUAGUUCGUCUUUGUGUAUGUUUAAAUUUAUAUUUUUUUAUAGUUAUUGUGCUGUUUAACUUUCUUAUAAAAGAGAGUGAGGAAUUAAAAAGGUGGCCACCGAACAGAAAGUUAAACUGCAAUAUACUAUAAUCUUUUUAGUUCAUGUUUACAUUUUUAACUGAUAAAUUAUAAAUAUAAAAUUUCAAAUUAAUUUAAAUUCAAAAAUAAAAGAACACCAACAUAGAUUUCUUAAACAUUAAAAUUUUACUAUAAAUUUAAACUACAUUUAAUCAGCACAUUAGUUGAAGUUUUAUAGGAACCGAACAUUUGGCUGGAUCAUGGACUACCCACCGACGGAGAAUUUGUCAUUGAGCUGAAGGAAGAUGUGUCAGCACUCGGCUUCGUUUCAACCCGGAGGAAGAUUGGCAGCAUCAAUAUAAGAAGCUCAUCUUAAUGUCAACUGUCCAAAGGAUUUGUUUUGAAGAAGAAUUCGUCACAAAGCUGAUGGAAAAUGUGUCGGCACUCGGCUUCGUUUCAACCCGGAGGAAGAUUGGCAUCAUCAAUAUAAGAAGCUCAUCUUAAUGUCAACUGUCCAAAGGAUUUGUUUUGAAGAAGAAUUCGUCACAAAGCUGAUGGAAAAUGUGUCGACACUCGGCUUCGUUUCAACCCGGAGGAAGAUUGGCAGCAUCAAUAAGAAGCUCAUCUUAGUUAAGUUGUCCCCCCCUUUACGCAUUAGCGCUCAUCUCUCAUCCACUCAUCCAACACAUUCACUAUCGCCGGCCGGCAACACACAUAUAUUAUACACAUUAACCGUUUUAUAUUAUAUAAUAGUAUUAUUAAUAUCCACAUAAUUUAAGUUAUUGUAUAUUUUUUUUUAUUAUUUGAAUGCAUUCAUAUGAUCAGUGGCGUAUUUAGGAAUUUUAGGAUAAGGGCAACACAUAUUUUACCGCCUUCCCCCCUCAUUAAAAAAAAAUUAAAAAACUACGCCGCGCAAUAGUGGUCAAACUGUUAAUACCAUAGAAUACCAUGUUAUAUAAAUACUGUAUAGUAUUUUAUACCUCUAUGGCAAUGGCACACAUUUGUUGUGAAAAUUAUUAAUGAUUGACGUCACUGCGCCAGUACUCAUAAAGUACGAAAUAAAAAUUUGCCGCCUCUCUAAAUCUUUAAAAAUUUGCCGUUCUGGACAACUGGACCCAAAGCCCCUACCUAAAUACGCCCCUGCAUAUAAUGCGUUCUCGCUUACGAUGUGGAUUAGGCCUACUGGGGACACCACAAUAAAAAAACGCGCCUCGUGUAAUACCUCAUAAAGUUAUUAAACAAUACGGACAAUGUUAUUGUACGUCGUUUAAUAAUAAAGGUGGUGUGGAAAAUUACCUAACACUGUUAU